rnacentral:rRNA from 1 species
GACCAAGAGAUUUAGUUAUAUAAAUUAGGUAAAAAGAUAGUUAAGUAAUUGAAAGUCUAAUAAUCUUUUAUAAAAAAGUAAAAUUUGAAUAUAAAAAGUUUAUUUGCUCGAGACUGAAAAGCUGAAGCUAUGAAAAUUUUGAGGGAAACUGGGAUUAGAUACCCCAUUAUUCAUAAUUGUAAACUAAUUAGAUUUACCAGAGUACUAUGAAUUAUAUAAAAUUUAAAACUCAAAGGGCUUGGCGGUGUUUUAGACCUAUUAGGGGAACCUGUCUCUUAAUCGACAAUCCACGUUAUACCUAACCUAUUUUAGUAAACAGUCUGUAUACCGUCGUCGUCAGGUAACUUUUAAAAAUAAAGAAGUUGGCAAAAUAAUAAUUUGUAUUAAAACGUCAGAUCAAGGUGCAGCUAAUAUAUAGGAGAGGAUGGGUUACAAUUAUAAAGUAAUAAUACGGAUAAUUACAUGAAAAAAAUUUAAAGGCGGACUUAAAAGUAAGGUCAUUAUAUAAAAAUGAUUUGAAUAAGGCUCUGAAACGUGC